rnacentral:rRNA from 1 species
GACGAACGCUGGCGGCGUGCCUAAUACAUGCAAGUCGAACGCAGUGGGGACGGGUGAGUAACACGUGGGUAACCUCCCCUCAGAGGGGAUAACACUUGGACACAGGUGCUAACCCGCUACUGAUGGAUGGCCCCGCGGUGCAUUAGCUAGUGGGUGGGGUAACGGCUCACCAAGGCCACGUUGCAUAGCGGUCCUGAGAGGUGGACGGGCCCACCGGGGACUGAGAAACGGCCCAGACCCCUACGGGAGGCAGCAGUAGGGAACGUUCGGCAAGGGAGGAAAGUCGGACCGAGAAACGCCGCGUGGGUGAAGAGGGUUUUCGGAUCGUAAAACUUGGUUGUUAGAGAAGCGGUAUCGAACCAGAAAGCCACGGCUAACUACGUGCCAGCAGCCGCGGUAAUUC